GAUAUGUUUAUGAGGAUAACCUCUCCAUUGACUUGAGAUCUAGUGAGGGAAUGGUAUGAUAGAAGGGAAAACUUAUCGCCUGGCAAGCCAGCA